rnacentral:rRNA from 1 species
CAAUAGCGUAUAUUAAAGUUGUUGCAGUUAAAAAGCUCGUAGUUGGAUUUCUGGUGGGAGCGAUCGGUCUGGCGCUUAGCGCGAGUACUUGCAUCGUCUCCGGCCAUCCUUGGGGAGAGUCUGUCUGGCAUUAGGUUGUCGGGCAGAGGAUCCUCAUCGUUUACUGUGAAAAAAUUAGAGUGUUCAAAGCAGGCUUAUGCCGUUGAAUAUAUUAGCAUGGAAUAAUAAGAUAGGACUUUGGUACUAUUUUGUGGGUUUGCGCACCAAAGUAAUGAUUAAUAGGGACAGUUGGGGGUAUUCGUAUUCCGUUGUCAGAGGUGAAAUUCUUGGAUUUACGGAAGACGAACUACUGCGAAAGCAUUUACCAAGGAUGUUUUCAUUAA